rnacentral:lncRNA from 1 species
CUGGUUCAGCACUCAGUAUCACUUGGCAUGACACAAAGCCAUUAACGCAGGUGUUUAAAGGACUUCCCAAGCUCUUGGAAGAUCAAGAUGGUACAUCUAGAUGGACUGGUAAAAAUGGAGCACUGCCAAGCAAACCCCAAGAAAAUGUCCAGCCUCAACAUGAAGUUUUACUGGCUUCUGAGGAAGUGAGUGGUGUCAGCAAAGAAUACCAAGUGUGAAAAAGACAUUUUGGAUCGUGUUUACAGGGCCCUUGGAUGCACUUACUGUUUUAGAGGUAUGAGUUUAACUAUUGUUAAAGUCUUUUGAUUAG